rnacentral:rRNA from 1 species
UACGGAGGGAGCUAGCGUUGUUCGGAAUUACUGGGCGUAAAGCGCACGUAGGCGGCGAUUCAAGUCAGAGGUGAAAGCCCGGGGCUCAACCCCGGAACUGCCUUUGAAACUAGAUUGCUAGAAUCCUGGAGAGGUUAGUGGAAUUCCGAGUGUAGAGGUGAAAUUCGUAGAUAUUCGGAAGAACACCAGUGGCGAAGGCGACUAACUGGACAGGUAUUGACGCUGAGGUGCGAAAGCGUGGGGAG